rnacentral:lncRNA from 1 species
AUCCCUUUCUUUUCUUAAUUCUUUUCAUAUGUAAGUAUAAUUACUAAAAGAAUAUAUUGAUACUUUAUGUUGACAAGAUGUCUCUUCAUAAAUUGACCAAUUUUCUUCUACUUUUCGGUCAGUACCAUUUACAAGUAUAUAGAUUAUAAGCAUUAGAUAGAUAGUUGCAGUAUUAUUUUAUAUGUCAGUACUAAGUUAAAAAAAACCAAAAUAAACAGCCUACGCCAUUGCAUAAUGUCUUGUUAAGUUUGUUAAUGAUCUGUUUAAAAGAUAUUUUUAUUUGGUAGUAACAAAGUAUUGUAUAUAUUUUAUUACACAGGCACCUGCCAUACCAAAUUUUAAUUUUAGUGUAAUAAAUUGUGAUAUCUUUUA